rnacentral:rRNA from 1 species
ACCAACGCUGGCGGCGUGCGUAACACAUGCAAGUCGAACGGGCGCAGGCUUCGGCCCGCGUCAGUGGCGGACGGGUGAGUAACACGUGGAUAAUCUGUCCCGCUGGGUGGGGGAUACCGUGCAGAACUGCGCGACAAGCCCGCAUACGUCCUUUGCUCGCAGGAGCGAAGGGGAAAGCCUGGGCAACCAGGCGCCGGGGGAGGAGUCCGCGGCCGAUUAGCUAGUUGGUGGGGUAAGAGCCCACCAAGGCGACGAUCGGUAGCUGGUCUGAGAGGAUGGUCAGCCACACUGGGAUUGAGAACGGCCCAGACUCCUACGGGGGGCAGCAGUGAGGAAUCUUCGGCAAUGGGGGCAACCCUGACCGAGCGACGCCGCGUGCGGGAUGACGGCUUUCGGGUCGUAAACCGCUUUUCUUGGGGACGAGUAGAUAGGGACGGUACCCGAGGAAGAAGCCUCGGCUAACUACGUGCCAGCAGCCGCGGUAAUACGUAGGAGGCGAGCGUUGUCCGGAGUUACUGGGCGUAAAGGGUGCGCAGGCGGCUUUCCAAGUGGAUGGUGAAAUCUCCUGGCUUACCUGGGAGGGUGCCGUCCAAACUGGGGGGCUUGAGGCUCGGCGGGGGGCGUGGAAUUCCGGGUGGAGCGGUGAAAUGCGUAGAGAUCCGGAGGAACACCGACGGCGUAGGCAGCGCCCUGGACGAGACCUGACGCUCAGGCACGAAAGCUGGGGGAGCAAACAGGAUUAGAUACCCUGGUAGUCCCAGCCCUAAACGAUGUCCACCAGGUGCCGCGGGUAUCGACCCCUGCGGUGCCGCAGCUUACGUGAUGAGUGGACCGCCUGGGGAGUACGGCCGCAAGGUUGAAACUCAAAGGAAUUGACGGGGGCCCGCACAAGCAGCGGAGCGUGUGGUUUAAUUCGAUGCAACGCGAAGCACCUUACCGGGGCUUGACAUGUGGUGGCACCAGGGGUAAUGCCCUGUUCCUUCGGGACCAUCACACAGGUGCUGCAUGGCUGUCGUCAGCUCGUGCCGUGAGGUGUUGGGUUAAGUCCCCUAACGAGCGCAACCCCUGGGGUCCGUUACAUGUUGUCGGGCCCGACUGCCGCGCGCAACGCGGAGGAAGGUGGGGAUGACGUCAAGUCAGCACGGCCCUGACGUCCCGGGCGACACACACGCUACAAUGGCCGCGACAAUGGGUUGCCAAGCCGCGAGGCGGAGCCAAUCCCAGGCAAACGCGGUCUCAGUUCGGAUUGCAGGCUGCAACUCGCCUGCAUGAAGCUGGAGUUGCUAGUAACCGCGGGUCAGCACACCGCGGUGAAUACGUUCCCGGGCCUUGUACACACCGCCCGUCACACCACGAAAGCCGGCAACACCUGAAGCCGCUGGGCUAACUGGCCGCGAGGUCGGAGGCAGGCGUCGAGGGUGGGGUCAGUGAUUGGGGUG